CCGGAGCACACCCCAGCCUCCUCGCCGGGACGCGGAGCCCGGAGGUUGCAUGUCUGGUUGGACUUGAUGCAUGGCAUUUGCAUGACACUAAACAGCCCAGCUGUGGAUGUGUCACUGAGCAAACAUGGCCUACCCAGCAAAUACUAACGGCAGCGCUACAG